rnacentral:lncRNA from 1 species
CAGACGGCUCUGCCCGUGACGGUUGUGAACAGGUAACGGUCUCAGGUACCCAGGCAUAUUUAAACAUUAACGCUGCGGUCUGGUGUUGGGGAGUUCAAAAACUGGGUCAUCGAAGAGAGGAAAGCGUGGAAACUACAGCGUUCACCCCAGGGUUUGGCUAGCAACACGCUUCCACUUGAGGGUUUGCGGUCAGCCCCUCUGCUGCCUGCCCUAAUCCUUCAUGGUGUCGGAGAGUUGGAUGCUUCAUCAGAAGUGGAGAUUUCAUCCUAGCAGUGGAGCCGGUGCCCUGCUCCCCGCGGGGGAGCCCGUUGCCUGCGUAAGGAAGCAGUGCGGGCCGCGGCUGCAAAGCCCAGUUUGCAAAGCAGGGGAGCAGCACAACGCAGGUUUUUAUUUUCACUGGUUUUAAAGGGAGGCUGCUCCGCGCAGGAUGACCCCUAGGUGGUGCCUGGAUGCUGCAGAUGCGGCGCCCGCGCGGCCAGGGGAAGGGCGUGCGAGGGAGGGAUCCAUCUUUGUCCAGCACCGCAGCACCCAGCGAGGCGGGGAGGCAGCGCCUGAUGCCCCAUGGGCCGCGUCCAAAUGGCUGGAAAAGCUGCGAGCUGGGAACACGCACGAAACCAGAUGACUUCACCCUGGAAAGCGCACGGUGCCUGAGCCUGGCCGUCGCAGCUGGGCAGCGCCAGCGGUGGGCGGCACCUGGCCCGCGCUGGGCAUGUUCCUUGUCCCUGUGCACAUGCAAGUUCAGAUGGCUGCGUGCAGGAGACGCGCAGAAGCCGGCAGCUCGCGACGCAGAGACCCAAGCGCUCGGCAGAGAGACGGACGUGGCUGGAUGGGUCCUGGCAUGCGCAGCUCCGGGCUCGCCUGCGCCAGGUCAUCGCGGAGGCAUGCAGCAAGGCCAGUGGAGCAGGAGGAGGCUCUACUUCCAAAGGAGGAGCAGAGCAGACUAACCCCAUCCGCGCUGCGGGGGUGGCUUGGCCUGGGCUGCGGUGGCGCUCGGCGAGAGGCAGGAACGCUGCCCGCAACCCGCUCUGCACCGAUGGAAGAGUCUCGGCGCGGCAGGGCCAACUCCCUGGUCAGAGCGGGUGCCUCUGGAUGGCACCAAGGGAGAUGGAGGCUGUCCCACAUCCAGUUUGCACCCAGGCAGCCUGGAAGAGGGGGUCUUCAAUCUGCCUGGGAGGCCCCAUGUCAGGGAGCUGGGCCCUCUCAGGGUAGUGAGCGGUGCCCAGGCUGAAAGCAUGGGGCAGCUGCAACACGAGCGCUCGUGGCUUUGCAGCGGCCGCGUUUCCAGGUGCAGAGUGCUGGCCCCACUUGCAAGGGCUGUUUGGUGGCUGUGCGUUGGCCCCUGUGUGAGUGCGAGGGGCCACGAGGGCAUGGCACCUGCUUCCAGGCCUGAGCCCAGCCCUCGAUGUAUCCCAGGGCGCCUGGGGUCUGUCCGGGCAGGUCAGCUGUCUGCUGUGGCGCAGCAGGCUGGGGCCCUUCCUGCACUCACGAGACCCGAGGGGGCAAGACCCAGAAAGAAGGGAGCCAGUGACCUGCAUGUGGAGGGAUGCAGCUGGCUCUGCUGCGGACGGAGCAGAGAUGGAGCGCAUCUCUGCGCUCAAGAGCAUUUCAAGGCCUCGUCCAUCGCUGCUGUCAAAGGGAUGAAUGAAACCCAAAUGGACGUGAAGGUCGUGGGCAGGCGGCAGUAGGGCAUGGGCACUGCUGCCACGUACCAGCUCCCAGCCGGGUCCCCUCAGCCUUCCCUCCCGCGUGCCGGCUGGCGGGGAGCGGGGCGAGCCUGGCUGUAGCGAGCCGCAUCCUGCUCGGGCGGUCCCUGCCACGUCCUGUGGCGCGCGGCCCAGGCGGCCGUGCUAAUACGAGCGCUGGCACAAAUUCCAGCCUCCAUGAGCACGGUUAUUCUCGCUUCAGUAAGUCAGGCCUCUAGCUCAGCACGGGCAGAUUUCCUCCAGACGCCAUCCUCUGCCAAAGGCUGGCUAUUCGCGUGCCCACAGCAGAUGGCUGGUGCUGGUAUGAAGGCCCUGCCAGGCCAGUCUGCUCUUUGUUUCUACGGUGCGAUCCCACAUCACGUGUCGGGCCUCCCUGGCACUCUUCUCUGUGGCCCGGGGUAUUUAGGGAGGUCUUCCCCGCCGUCCCCGCGUGGCGCGGGGUCCUGAGCCUGGGCCGUGACUCGUGACUUGCCCCGGGGUGUUCCAGGAGCAGAAGCCAGUGUUGCCCCCCCCGGGCCUGCGCGUGGUGGAGCUGGGUCCAGUUCACAGAGCAAGACUGAUCCCCAUUUUGGCAAACUUGUAAUUAACUUAAAACAAAUGCCCGGGAAGUGCCGGCCCAUUAGCAGCCUCUGCUGCCUGAGACUCAUCCCUGCUAAUUACCCAGCGUGUCAGCCUGGGCCGCCUGCAGAUAGCGCAGCUCCCUAUUUGCAUUUAAAUUAAAAAACAUAUUUUAAAAAUAAAGGUUUCAUUAAG